CACGGGGGGAGCAAGCGUUGUUCGGAAUCACUGGGCGUAAAGGGCGUGUAGGCGGUCAAGUAAGUGGAAUGUGAAAGCCCCCGGCUUACCCGGGGAUCUGCAUCCCAAACUGCUUGGCUUGAGUACGGGAGAGGAUAGGGGAAUUCCUGGUGUAGCGGUGAAAUGCGUAGAUAUCAGGAAGAACAUCGGUGGCGAAGGCGCUCUGCUGGACCAUAACUGACACUCAGGGACGAAAGCUAGGGGAGCGAAUGGG
rnacentral:rRNA from 1 species